UACGAAGGGGGCUAGCGUUGCUCGGAAUCACUGGGCGUAAAGCGCACGUAGGCGGCUUUCUAAGUCAGGGGUGAAAUCCUGGAGCUCAAACUCCAGAACUGCCUUUGAUACUGGAGAGCUUGAGUCCGGAAGAGGUGAGUGGAACUCCGAGUGUAGAGGUGAAAUUCGUAGAUAUUCGGAAGAACACCAGUGGCGAAGGCGGCUCACUGGUCCGGUACUGACGCUGAUGUGCGAAAGCGUGGGGAGCAAACAGG
rnacentral:rRNA from 1 species